ACACCUCAACUCUCAUGGCUUGCCAUGAUGAGCUUGGACUAUGGGGGUCUUGCUGGCCUGUGGUCAGCUCCUCUCAAAUGAAUCAGCUUGCCAGUGUUUGGUUGGCGAUCACAGGUGUGAUAACUAUCUACGCUUGUGGUUUUCCACCAGGUAACCUUCAGCGAUGGAGGUUCGCUGGGGCUCAUAAACGUCUCUCCUCAACGAGGACAGAUUUUGACC
rnacentral:misc_RNA from 1 species